UGGCCUCAUGGGAAUACAAGUUGCACAUUCCUAACAAUUGCAAGGUAAAAAAAUGAUAUAGGCGACCAAUGUGACAAAUAGUGCUCAUGAAUUGUAUUCUUUCUGUCAUCGGCUAUAAAAAACGGCCCAAUCAAUUAAUCCUAACAUGUAUGCAUGCCAUGUUUUAAAAAAGAAAAUGUAACACAAUACACAUUACACAUCUGUGCGCCAUGGCAUAUAUUAUUUACUCUCCCUACCUAUUUCUCCAGCGCGUAUCUAUUAUUUCCUUGUGUUUGACUUAGUGUUACUGCGUGUUAUGGAAGAAUGACAAACCAGUUGAGCAGAUUUAUUCACUAGUCUUAAAACGUAGGAUCUUAAAAAAGAAAUCUAGCCCAAGGAUAUGUUACGAGUUAUAUUAUGUUAAGUUAAA